rnacentral:rRNA from 1 species
UCGAGCGGAUCUUUGAGAGCUUGCUCUCAAAGAUUAGCGGCGGACGGGUGAGUAACACGUGGGUAACCUGCCUGUAAGAUUGGGAUAACUCCGGGAAACCGGAGCUAAUACCGGAUAACAUUUUGAACCGCAUGGUUCGAAAUUGAAAGGUGGCUUUUGCUACCACUUACAGAUGGACCCGCGGCGCAUUAGCUAGUUGGUGAGGUAAUGGCUCACCAAGGCAACGAUGCGUAGCCGACCUGAGAGGGUGAUCGGCCACACUGGGACUGAGACACGGCCCAGACUCCUACGGGAGGCAGCAGUAGGGAAUCUUCCGCAAUGGACGAAAGUCUGACGGAGCAACGCCGCGUGAGUGAUGAAGGCCUUCGGGUCGUAAAGCUCUGUUGUUAGGGAAGAACAAGUACCGUUCAAAUAGGGCGGUACCAUGACGGUACCUAACCAGAAAGCCACGGCUAACUACGUGCCAGCAGCCGCGGUAAUACGUAGGUGGCAAGCGUUGUCCGGAAUUAUUGGGCGUAAAGGGCUCGCAGGCGGUUCCUUAAGUCUGAUGUGAAAGCCCACGG